AAGUUAAUGUUGGAGACAGAAAGGUCCACAGACCUUCUACUACCCAUAGGCCCAGCACAGGUGAAGUGUUGUUGUCACAGAGCAUUGUUGACACCACUCUCCCAUGCCCACUCCUCAUGUGGAUACUUGGGUUCUCUCAGAGCUGCUAAGGGAUGGGUGACAUGGCCAGGAUACCACUCCUUAUGGAGUCAUGCAGAGGAGUCAGACUGUUGUCCAAACCACUGGCCCUGCUCUCCCUCACACUAUCCUCUGUCAGCCUUUCCCAGCCAUCUUCCUAUCUGCUGGACUAGUUUUCCCUUGGCCCAUGGAACCUUCUUGUAAAACCGACCUUAGCCACCAUAAAUUCUGAGUUCUUUCUGAAGAUAUCACCAUCAUUUGCUGGUUUGAUGUUUUUACUGUCUUGUCCUGCAGACAUCAUCACUCCAGACUUCAGCAGUUUUCCAUCACUAGACUUUUCUCUAGGCUCCAUCAGAGGAAGAGACGAUUUGUAGACGAUCAGUCAUUCUGAUUGUUUACAUGUGCAUCUGUUUGUAGGUGUCAUGUUGAGUUUUUCCCCCUGCACAGGCUCUGACGCAAAGUGGGGUAAGGUUGUUAUCCAAGGGAUGGCUUGAGAGCUCCCCUGAGGGGACAGGCUCCCUGGCUCAGACCUUGGCAACCCCACUCCCUGGCUCGGCAAACUUUCUCAAGAAGAGAUCAGCCAAUACAAGACAAGGGCCUCCAGAGACUCGGCCUCAACCUGUCCAGGAACUCCAGUUUGGCAAAUUGCCCAGACCAGCCAGUCUUCAUUCCCAUCUUGCCUGUGCGUCUGCUUUCCAGACCUCCACACCAUGUCUCAGCUGUAGCCUCACCCUCAAAAAUCCCUCAGCACCUCGAACUCACCCUGACCAACCGGCAUUCUACUCCUUGCACCUGAAUUGCUUACACCUAAGGUGGUAGCAGUAGCAGGUUGGCUAUUAGUACAUUCCUGGUCUCUGGGGUAAUUCUGUACCCUGCUAUGUUCUGGAGCGGUUCUGGGCAGGAGAAGAAUUGUAUUAGGAUCUGGAUCCCCUAGAAUGGCUGAAUAACCACAGACUUCUUCACUGGACACAUCACAUCAGGGCCCUGCUCUGACAGCCAGAUGUGUUUUAUGGGAAGAGGAGUGUUGCUAUGUCCAGAGAAGCCGUGUCACUAUAUCAUUCUUGUAUUUCUAUGCUGUGUUAGCUCAGAGUAAACCUGCUCCUGUUAAUGGUGCGAUGACUUCCCAGUACCUCAUUUCAUGCCAACGCCGAUCCUGAAUGAAGACAUUCCUGCCAUCAUCAAAACUAUUUGGUCCUGGCUAAGAAAUUGAGUUGUUUCUUGUUGUUGUUGCUGUUGUUGUUUGCCCUUUGUUCAUGAAGAAGUCCGUGGUAUCAAGGUUACGUCAUGGGGCAGCUAGGUGGCCCA